rnacentral:rRNA from 1 species
AACGCUGGCGGCAGGCCUAACACAUGCAAGUCGAGCGGUAACAGAAAGUAGCUUGCUACUUUGCUGACGAGCGGCGGACGGGUGAGUAAUGCUUGGGAACAUGCCUUGAGGUGGGGGACAACAGUUGGAAACGACUGCUAAUACCGCAUAAUGUCUACGGACCAAAGGGGGCUUCGGCUCUCGCCUUUAGAUUGGCCCAAGUGGGAUUAGCUAGUUGGUGAGGUAAUGGCUCACCAAGGCNACGAUCCCUAGCUGGUUUGAGAGGAUGAUCAGCCACACUGGGACUGAGACACGGCCCAGACUCCUACGGGAGGCAGCA